GUGCUUUAGAUCGGCAGCACACAUACUAAAAUUGGAAUGAUACAGAGAAGAUUAGCAUGGCCCCUGCACAAGGAGGACACACAAACUCGUGAAGCAUUCCAUAUUUUU
rnacentral:snRNA from 2 species